CCCUUAGAUGUUCUGGGCCGCACGCGCGCUACACUGAUGCAUUCAACAAGCCUAGCCUUGACCGAGAGGUCCGGGUAAUCUUUGAAACUGCAUCGUGAUGGGGCUAGAUUAUUGCAAUUAUUAAUCUUCAACGAGGAAUGCCUAGUAAGCGUGAUUCAUCAAAUCGCGUUGAUUACGUCCCUGCCCUUUGUACACACCGCCCGUCGCCCCUACCGAUUGAAUGUGUUGGUGAGGAGCUCGGAUUGGCAGCAGUUGGUGGUUCGCCACCGGCUAUUGCUGAGAAGUCCUCCAAACCGCCCCAUUUAGAGGAAGGAGAANUCGUAACA
rnacentral:rRNA from 1 species